CCACGGGACGCUCCAGUGAGGAAUAUUGCGCAAUGAGCGAAAGCUAGACGCAGCAACGCCGCGUGAGCGAUGAAGGCCUUCGGGUCGUAAAGCUCUUUUCUGGGGGAAGAGGAAGGACGGUACCUCAGGAAUAAGUGUCGGCUAACUACGUGCCAGCAGCCGCGGUAAAACGUAGGACGCAAGCGUUAUCCGGAUUUACUGGGCGUAAAGCGCGUGCAGGCGGACCGUUAAGUCGUGCGUGAAAGCUCCCUGGCUCAACCGGGAGAGGUCGUACGAAACUGGCGGACUAGAGGACAGCAGAGGAGUGUGGAAUUCCGGGUGUAGUGGUGAAAUGCGUAGAUAUCCGGAGGAACACCAGUGGCGAAGGCGGCACUCUGGGCUGUACCUGACGCUAAGACGCGAAAGCAUGGGUAGCGAACGGGAUUAGAUACCCCGGUAGUC
rnacentral:rRNA from 1 species